GAAGCCAGGAGAGAGGCAGUGAGGGGCCUUCUCUAGCACCUUCAGGGGAGCAGGCCCUGCCCACACGUUGUGUUCCGGCUUCCAGACCCCGGAACCACGAGGUUUCAGCACCAGAAUUUGAACCCAUGAAGGGUUUCCUGAUGCCGACCCAGACUUGCAGCAAACGUGGCUGUCCGAACCUUCUGGGAGCUUGUUAAAAUUGAGACCAUCAAACGAGGGACAGCCACGGCUUUAGAAGAAAGCUACCAGUGCGGAUUUGCUUGUUUUAGGCCCGGAGUCAUCUGAUUUUCACGAGACAGUAACGCAGCGAAG